AUGGCGAUAGCGACAUGAUGGUCA
rnacentral:siRNA from 1 species